GCGAAAGCAAGAAAGGGCGCACGGCGGAUGCCUGUGGCUCGGGAAGGCGAUGAAGGGCGCGGCAAGCUGCGAAAAGCCGCGGGGAGGUGCAAGCGACCGUUGAUCCGCGGAUUCCCGAAUGGGGCAACCCGGCAGUCUGACGGACUGCCAUCCGCCUUGAUGGCGGAGGCGAACCUGGGGAACUGAAACAUCUUAGUACCCAGAGGAAGAGAAAACAAAAUGUGAUUCCCCCAGUAGUGGCGAGCGACCGGGGAAGAGCCCAAACCGUCCGGAUUCCGGUCCGGGCGGGGUUGUAGGGCCGCGAUACGGCAAGAUCCAAACGAGGGGAAGUGUCUGGAAAGUCACACCAUAGACGGUGAUAGUCCGGUACCCGAAGGAUGGUGAAGCCCAGCGGUACCCUGAGUAGCGCGGGGCACGUGGAACCCCGCGUGAAUCCGGCGGGCCCAUCCGCCAAGGCUAAACACUCUCCCGAGACCGAGAGUGGACAAGUACCGUGAGGGAAAGGUGAAAAGCACCCAUAGCAUGGGAGUGAAAUAGUUCCUGAAACCGUGCGCCUGCAAGCUGUCAGAGCGGCCAUUUCAGUGCCGUGAUGGCGUGCCUUUUGCAUAAUGAGCCUACGAGUUGCCGUGACGUGCGAGGUUAAGUGCCAUGAGGCACGCAGCCGCAGUGAAAGCGAGCCUGAAGAGGGCGCCAGAGUACGUUUCGGCAGACGCGAAACCAGGUGAUCUACCCGUGGCCAGGCUGAAGUCCAGGUAACGCUGGAUGGAGGGCCGAACCGAUAAGCGUUGAAAAGCUUCCGGAUGAGCUGCGGGUAGGAGCGAAAGACCAAUCAAACCUGGAGAUAGCUCGUACUCCCCGAAAAGCAUUUAGGUGCUGCCUGGGGCGUUCCCCGCGCGAGGUAGAGCGACCGGUAGGAUGCGAGGGCUUCGCCGCCUGUCAAGUCCUGUCGAACUCCGAAUGCGCGCGGGCCAAGCCCUGGAGAAAGGGGGCGGGUGCUAACGUCCGCUCCCGAGAGGAGAACAAUCCUGACCGCCGGCCAAAGCCCCGGAGUCGCAGCUAAGUUAGUCUAACGCAGUCCCUUCCCCAUGACAGCUAGCAUGUUGGCUUGGAAGCAGCCAUUCAUCCAAAGAGUGCGUAACAGCUCACUAGUCGAGGGAUCGGGCAUGGAUAAUAAUCGGGUAUGAAGCUGCGCGCUGAAGCCGCGGGAUGCAUACGCAUCGGUAGGGGAGCAUUCCAGUCAGCGUCGAAGCGGAAGGCGCGAGCCGCCGUGGAGCGUCUGGAAAAGCAGAUGUAGGCAUAAGUAACGAUAAGGGGGGUGAGAUUCCCCCCCGCCGUAAGACC
rnacentral:rRNA from 1 species